rnacentral:rRNA from 1 species
UCGUAACAAGGUCUCCGUUGGUGAACCAGCGGAGGGAUCAUUACCGAGUUUACAACUCCCAAACCCAAUGUGAACGUUACCAAACUGUUGCCUCGGCGGGAUCUCUGCCCCGGGUGCGUCGCAGCCCCGGACCAAGGCGCCCGCCGGAGGACCAACCAAAACUCUUAUUGUAUACCCCCUCGCGGGUUUUUUACUAUCUGAGCCAUCUCGGCGCCCCUCGUGGGCGUUUCGAAAAUGAAUCAAAACUUUCAACAACGGAUCUCUUGGUUCUGGCAUCGAUGAAGAACGCAGCGAAAUGCGAUAAGUAAUGUGAAUUGCAGAAUUCAGUGAAUCAUCGAAUCUUUGAACGCACAUUGCGCCCGCCAGUAUUCUGGCGGGCAUGCCUGUCCGAGCGUCAUUUCAACCCUCGAACCCCUCCGGGGGGUCGGCGUUGGGGAUCGGCCCUUUACGGGGCCGGCCCCGAAAUACAGUGGCGGUCUCGCCGCAGCCUCUCCUGCGCAGUAGUUUGCACACUCGCAUCGGGAGCGCGGCGCGUCCACAGCCGUUAAACACCCCAAACUUCUGAAAUGUUGACC